UACGAGGGGGGCUAGCGUUGCUCGGGAUCACUGGGCGUAAAGGGCGCGUAGGCGGGCUUUUAAGUCAGGGGUGAAAGCCCAAGGCUCAACCUUGGAAUUGCCUUUGAUACUGAGGGCCUUGAGACCGGAAGAGGUCGGCGGAACUGCGAGUGUAGAGGUGAAAUUCGUAGAUAUUCGCAAGAACACCAGUGGCGAAGGCGGCCGACUGGUCCGGUUCUGACGCUGAGGCGCGAAAGCGUGGGGAGCAAACCGG
rnacentral:rRNA from 1 species